CACCACUCGAUCACCAGGAGGCCU
rnacentral:siRNA from 1 species